rnacentral:rRNA from 1 species
UACGAAGGGGGCUAGCGUUGCUCGGAAUUACUGGGCGUAAAGCGCACGUAGGCGGAUCUUUAAGUCAGGGGUGAAAUCCUGGAGCUCAACUCCAGAACUGCCUUUGAUACUGAGGACCUUGAGUUCGGGAGAGGUGAGUGGAACUGCGAGUGUAGAGGUGAAAUUCGUAGAUAUUCGCAAGAACACCAGUGGCGAAGGCGGCUCACUGGCCCGAUACUGACGCUGAGGUGCGAAAGCGUGGGGAGCAAGCAGG